rnacentral:lncRNA from 1 species
GUUGUAAGAGGUUGGAAAGGGUAUGUACUUCAAAGACUUAGGGGGCCCUGGGCUUCAACAUUUUGCUUUCAAAUGAUUCAACAUGUAUUGCAGUUAAUUUAUUCAGGUACUUAGAGGCUCAGGUGGUAGGCUGUUAGCUGGGGAUGCAUUGGAGAGUAAAAGCCCAACUGAUAAUGUAGCUAGAAGAGCAAUGUGCUAGGAUUCUUUACCUCCUGUUAUAGUUUGGGUCUAGCAUGUCCCCCACAGGCUCAUGUGUUCUCCAUGCAGCAAUGUUCAGAGGUAGAAAUUGUAGCAAGUAGAUCAUGAGGGCUCUCAUCUCACCAAUGGAUGAGUCCAUUGACUGAUUCAUAAGUGAAUGGAUUAUUGGAAGGUGGUGGAAACUUUAGGAGCUGGUACCUAGCUGGAGGAAAUAGGUCAGUGGUUGUGCCCUCAAAGAAUAUAUCUUGUAACUGACUCCCGCCUCUCUUUCUUUCUGCUUCCUGGCUGCCAUGUGAUGAGUGGCCUCCUCUACUACAUGCUCCUACCACCGUGAUAAUACUGCCUCAUCUCAGGCCCAAAGCAAAGAAGCCAACUGACCAUGGACUAGAACCUCUGAAACUGAGAGCCAAAAAGAUCUUUUCUACUGUAAGUUGAUUUUCUCAGGUAUUUUGUCACAGUUAGGG